rnacentral:rRNA from 1 species
GAUGAACGCUGGCGGCGUGCCUAAUACAUGCAAGUCGAGCGAACAUACGAGGAGCUUGCUCCUCUGACUUUAGCGGCGGACGGGUGAGUAACACGUGGAUAACCUACCUAUAAGACUGGGAUAACUUCGGGAAACCGGAGCUAAUACCGGAUAAUAUAUUGAACCGCAUGGUUCAAUAGUGAAAGACGGUUUUGCUUUCACUUAUAGAUGGAUCCGCGCCGCAUUAGCUAGUUGGUGAGGUAACGGCUUACCAAGGCGACGAUGCGUAGCCGACCUGAGAGGGUGAUCGGCCACACUGGAACUGAGACACGGUCCAGACUCCUACGGGAGGCAGCAGUAGGGAAUCUUCCGCAAUGGGCGAAAGCCUGACGGAGCAACGCCGCGUGAGUGAUGAAGGUCUUCGGAUCGUAAAACUCUGUUAUUAGGGAAGAACAAAUGUGUAAGUAACUAUGCACGUCUUGACGGUACCUAAUCAGAAAGCCACGGCUAACUACGUG